CCUGUCUUCCUUCCUCUCACAUGUCAGUUCCUGGCACAGACUGUGUAGAAGAGUGAGUCUGACUAGCUCUCCUACUUGAGGAUCUGUCUCUGAGUCCACAUUGUGGGAGAAGAGACCAUUCUUCGGAAAGACGCAGAGGAAGUCCCCCACCUCAAGGGAUCGAGAUGGGAGACUGAGGGAAUCCUGGCGUCUCUACCUUCUCCCUCACUGAGAAACAAGCUCUGUUUCUUCAUGUGCCGGAGCCCUGCCUCUGUGGGUGCAGCCUGAGGACAAAGGCAGUGCUGCAUCCCCUGAUCCCCUGCCCCUGUGGGUGCAGCCUGAGGACAAAGGCAAUGCUGCAUUCCCUGAUCCCCUGCCCCCUACAACCUCCUGCCCAGCCUCUCGGGUGCUCCUCAGCUUGUCAUCAGGGAGGAAGCAGCCAUCUCCUCCGAUGACUGACUUCAAGCCUCAACUCUCCCGCAGCUCCUCAAAAGCCAAGACUGAGGCCAAGUCCUAGCUGCUGCCUUGGGACAGGUCAAGGGCCUCAUGCACAAGCUGGUACCCAUGAGCAUGUGGCCUAAGAGAUUUAUUGACCCACUCUCCAAGUCCUUGCCAGAGGAAUCCUGCACACCUAUAUCCACAAUGAAGGGAGCCAUAUCCCCAGCUGGGUAGCCAUAUCCCUAAUGAUAUCACUUAUGAAAGGUGACAAGUCCUUUCUACCACUCUUAUUUAAGUGAAAAUAUAUAGUCAAUUAUGGUC